UGGGGGGUAGGGGGGUCCCCACCCCUGCGGCGGCGGGCCUCUCGCUGUCGCGUCUCUGUGUUUGCCUCUCCGGCUAUGUCUCCCUCUCUCUCGGAGAGAUGUCUCCGGCCUCUCUCUGUCUCUACCUCUAUCUCUGUCUGCGCUGUCUCUUUGCAUCUACGAUCCUUUUGCCUGUGGACUUCUGUCUGCUUCCCUGUCCCUCCCCAAGGGAAGCAAUUCCAUGACUCCCUGGGGUCGUCAGGGCGCGGGUUCGAGUCCUGACUCCCAUUUCCUCGCCCGGUGACCUUGACCACGCACUUCCCCUCUCUGGGCCGUUUCCUUUGUGAGAGCGAAAGGGCGCACCCGGGGCCGGGCCGGGCAGAUGCCUGCACUGUCCCCCUGCCUGCCCCCCCCCCCGCCCCCCGUGGCUCCCCGCCGGGGGUCUGGACCGCGCUGGGGGCGGGGGACUGCGCUGGGGGCGCUCAAAGGGACAUUGAUUGUGUCUCUCCCCGCGGGGUCCCUGCGCCCAGCGCGUGUCGCCAGGCACCGGGAAUCCUGAAAAUACAGAGAGAAACAGACGUGGAACAGAGGCUUAGAGAUCGUGAGAGACCGAGGAAGGGAAAGACGAGAGACAGCAAGAGGCGCAGACCAGACUCGGAUCGACCAAAGUUCAGGGCGGGAAGCCUCUCUCUGGGACCCCGAAAUUGGGUGCGGGGCCCUGGUCCCCAAGAAGGGACUUAACCCGGGAUGUGAGGAGCCGCAGUGGACAGAGGCCUGACCUCUUCCUCAUUCUUCCUCUCUCUGGAUCGCCCUCUCAGUCCCUGUAAUGGGGAAACAUCUCCAAGCAAGACCUGAGUUCAAAUGCCACCUCCACCCCUGCUUCCCUGGGACCUUGGACAGUCAGUCCUCCUGAGACCCAGCCUGUUCUGGCAAAUGGGCUGAUGCCAACCCCUGCCUCUCCGUGUUGUUUGGGCGACAGCAAGAGGAGAGAUCGGAAGUUCGGAUGCUGUUGGCACUGCCCACCCAGCCUUCAUCUCUGGGGACUUUCAGACACAGGAGAGGGGUGGGGUGCAGAGCAUGACCCCACAGUAGAGAAACCGGAAGCUGAGCCGCAGAGGGACGGGGCCCAUCAAGGGGGUGACCCUAGGAGAAUCUUCUGCUGCUCAGGAAAGUCCCUGCUCCCACAGCACCUCCCUCAGUGUCGGGAAUGGAGGAUGCGGAACCAGGAUGCCUACCCCCUCUCUCCCCCCUGAUUCCCUGCGUCCCAGGAGGGGAGGACUAGGGUCUCCCCUCUCUGGGCCUUGCACUGUGGAGGCCCCCUGCUGGCAGGGGCUGCCCCUGGAUGAGUCCCAGAAACUUCCCAGAGAAGGCCCGGAAGUCCUGCCUGGUGUCUCACCACUUUCCCUCACUCAGAUAGUCUUUUGUACCCGUUCAGAUGGCCUCUUCCCGCUGACUGCCUCCCCCCAGGGAAGGAAGGGCCAAGACUGUACCUAUUCAAGGUCCCAAGAGGGGAAUGAAGUCCCAGCUAGAAGGCUGUGGGCCUGGGGCAGCUUUCUUGCUCUUAGGGCCUCAGUUUCCCCUUCUGAAAGGAGAGGAGAGGGCUUGGCCUUGUCCUGUUUGCUCCCAGCUGAGGCUUGGGUGUAAGUCCUGUCUCUCACUUUCAGUAGCUUAGUGACUUACCCUGAUAGAGCCUCAGCUCUCCAUAAAACAUCUCGAUGUAUAAAACAGAUUCCAUCAAGAAAAGAAUGCUCCCAUCUUACAGGGCCCGAGGGAUAGAAAGUGCUCAAUUCGCCCUAGCCGGUUUGGCUCAGUGGAUAGAGCAUCGACCUGUGGACUAAAGGGUCCUAGGUUUGAUUCCGAUCAAGGGCACAUGCCCAGGUUGAGGGCUCGAUCCCCAGUGGGGAGCGUGCAGGAG